GGGCCCGCACAAGCGGAGGAACAUGUGGUUUAAUUCGAUGAUACGCGAGGAACCUUACCCGGGCUCGAACGGCAGUGGAAUAAGUGUGAAAGCAUUUAGUCUUCGGACCGCUGUCGAGGUGCUGCAUGGUUGUCGUCAGCUCGUGCCGUGAGGUGUCGGCUUAAGUGCCAUAACGAGCGCAACCCUUAUCUUUAGUUACCAUCAGGUUAAGCUGGGGACUCUGGAGAGACUGCCACCGUAAGGUGAGAGGAAGGUGGGGAUGACGUCAAAUCAGCACGGCCCUUACGUCCGGGGCGACACACGUGUUACAAUGGGGGGACAGAAGGCUGCUACCGGGCGACCGGAUGCUAAUCCUCAAACCCUCUCCCAGUUCGGAUCGGAGUCUGCAACUCGACUCCGUGAAGCUGGAUUCGCUAGUAAUCGCGCAUCAGCCCAUGGCG
rnacentral:rRNA from 1 species